GGCGAACGCUGGCGGCGUGCUUAAGACAUGCAAGUCGAAUGGCAGUCUUCGGACUGUAGUGGCGCACGGGUGAGUAACGCGUAACUGACCUACCCCAAAGUCGCGGAUAACGAUUCGAAAGAAUCGCUAAUACGUGAUGUGCUGUCAGAUUGUGUUCUGCCAGUAAAGAUUGAUUGCUUUGGGAUGGGGUUGCGCUCCAUCAGCUAGUUGGUGGGGUAAAGGCCAGCCAAGGCGACGACGGAUAGCCGGCCUGAGGGGGUGGCCGGCCACAGGGGAACGGAGACACGGGUCCCACUCCUACGGGAGGCGGCAGUUAGGAAUCUGCCACAAUUGGCGACAGCCUGAUGGAGCGACGCCGCGUGAGGGAUGAAGGUCUUCGGAUCGUAAAGCUCUGAAUCAGGGACGAAAGACACUUCGGUGGGAUGACGGUACCGGAGUAAUAGCACCGGCUAACUCCGUGCCAGCCGCCGCAGUAACAC
rnacentral:rRNA from 1 species